GAGCUCUGACGCUCAAUCAAGGAUAAAGAAGUUGUGAGGUAGAAGCCAUGCCGUGCCACACCACCCUGUGAAGGGCAGCAUUGGGAGAAGCCCCUUAACACAACAGAGGAGCAAAUGCACAUACCCCCACCCGACUGUGAGCGCGAGCUGUGCUGGCGCGGAGCACGGCGAGCGCACGGCGGCGCGCGGACGUGUGGCGGGCCUUCGGAGUCCAGGGCGUGGCGCAGAAUGAUGCCGGAUCUGGGAAAGAAAUUGGCGCGCGUGGCAGCGGGGUCCCCGUGAUUCUUCCGGUCAACUGGUUUGCCUGGGAAUUCAACUUCGAGCUCGUGUGUUGGUAAAAUUAGUGUGUAGGGCGAUGAUUCUAAAAUCUGCGGUUUGUUCAAGACUAUGAAAUGCACUUUGAGACACUGGAAGCUGCAUAUGAAAUCUACAGAGCAUACGCAAAGGUUGCCGGUUUCUCCCUCAAAAAGAACAUGAGGAGAGGGAACGGGUAGGAAUUUUGUUGCUCGUACGAGGGAAAGCACAAGUGAUUUCAAUCUCGCUGGUUACUGAAGUAACUCGUGAAUGUGCUUAUUGAAUUACUGAUGGCGUGUGUGUGCUUAUUCAUGUACCGUGUGAUUUUGCUGAACUAAAAACGAGUGUUGUUGGUUAGUUAAAAUAGAACAAAACA